rnacentral:misc_RNA from 1 species
AAGUCGUAACAAGGUUUCCGUAGGUGAACCUGCGGAAGGAUCAUUACCUUUCUGGCUAUUUGAUAGCUUGUCUUGGGGGGUCUUAGCAGGUUUCUGCAGUUCUCUGACUAAUCCGUGUUUUUUGCGUACUACAUGUUUCCUCGGCGGGCUUGCUUUGCCGGUUGGACAAACAUAAAACUCUUUGCAAUUGCAAUCAGCGUCUGAAUUAUAUAAUAAUUCAA